ACCUAGCGGCGGACGGGUGAGUAAUGCUUAGGAAUCUGCCUAUUAGUGGGGGACAACAUUCCGAAAGGAAUGCUAAUACCGCAUACGCCCUACGGGGGAAAGCAGGGGAUCUUCGGACCUUGCGCUAAUAGAUGAGCCUAAGUCAGAUUAGCUAGUUGGUGGGGUAAAGGCCUACCAAGGCGACGAUCUGUAGCGGGUCUGAGAGGAUGAUCCGCCACACUGGGACUGAGACACGGCCCAGACUCCUACGGGAGGCAGCAGUGGGGAAUAUUGGACAAUGGGCGNAAGCCUGAUCCAGCCAUGCCGCGUGUGUGAAGAAGGCCUUUUGGUUGUAAAGCACUUUAAGCGAGGAGGAGGCUACUUGGAUUAAUACUCUAGGAUAGUGGACGUUACUCGCAGAAUAAGCACCGGCUAACUCUGUGCCAGCAGCCGCGGUAAUACAGAGGGUGCGAGCGUUAAUCGGAUUUACUGGGCGUAAAGCGUGCGUAGGCGGCUUUUUAAGUCGGAUGUGAAAUCCCUGAGCUUAACUUAGGAAUUGCAUUCGAUACUGGGAAGCUAGAGUAUGGGAGAGGAUGGUAGAAUUCCAGGUGUAGCGGUGAAAUGCGUAGAGAUCUGGAGGAAUACCGAUGGCGAAGGCAGCCAUCUGGCCUAAUACUGACGCUGAGGUACGAAAGCAUGGGGAGCAAACAGGAUUAGAUACCCUGGUAGUCCAUGCCG
rnacentral:rRNA from 1 species